ACACAUCAUUUGCGACAGUAGAUUGUUAGUGUCUGCAUAGGUGCCUAUCGAGACAUCAAACUUCAAAAUAUCAAGAUUUACACAAAAAUUUCAGACUAUUACCACACUGAAAAAUAAAUGCCUUUAUAUUACCUAAUUAACGACACUAAUCAGUGCCUUGGCUAGAUUAACGUUUUUCUUUUCAAAAAGAUACUAACUCUAAAAUAUGAUAAGUUUAUUUUCUUUAUAUUAAUUAUUUAAAAAAAUGUUACUAUAAGAGAAAAAACCAUUAUCUGUAAGGCAACAUUUAUCACUAACUUUUUUUAUUUUUUGUUUUAAAACUUUCCCCUUUCUCACUUUCAAUUUUUAUGUUAUUAAAAAAAGAAAAAUUGAAAACUUCAAAUCUUUCACCCACUUCUCCCCACCGUGAACAAAAAAACUCCCUCUGAAAAUGGAGCAAGCAGUUUUUCGUCCCUUCCUUCAAUUCUUCCAACGAUGUGAAUAAUCGACCGUACUCCUAUCAUAUAUCGAGAACCGCCAUAGUAGAGCACCGUGAGCUGCCACUAUUUUUCUCGUACCCGCCGCCGUUCGAAGUUAUAUUUGCAGUUCUAUAGGUAUUUGUUGAGAGGUAUCAAAUUAAAAUUUCCAUUCAAAUUGGAUUGGAUCAGCGAUUCCAGUUGUUCAACAACUUCAACUCCGACGACUUUUACUGAAUUCCGUUACGUGAGUAUUAAUUUCUAAUGCUAUUUGGUGAGCUCAAAUUCUCCCUAUAAUUUCCUUUUCUCCUAGCUAUGUUUUGGUGUUUGUUGUUAGUGAUAUCUCUUUUAUCAUAAGAGAACUAAGAUUUAAGCAUAUUUAAAUUACUAAUAUAUUAUUUUAUGGUAUCAUCCUUUUUACUAUUUAGAUUUUUGAUGUUGAUACUAUUUAGAAAGUUGAAGUAUGGUAUGAAUUCUUAGAGAAAUUAUAUUGUUUAGGUGAAAUAAAUGUGGUUUUUGGUAAUGAUGUUGAAAUGAAUUGCAAAGCUACCAAUGUCAUGUAUUAUUAUCUAGAGUAAUAUAUUGACAAUAAUAUUUUAUUUUUCAACUUCAGUUUGCUACAAUGGACAAUCGAGUGACAUGCACAAGUGUUUCUUUUCCAGAUUUUCAAUUUGAUAAAUAUUUCAAAGCAGGGUAUUGCAAAAAUGUGGUAAUAUUUAAAGAGAAAAGAAAGGUAACCAUCAAGAUAUAUUUUUAUUUUCUCUAUACAUUAUUGUGAUGAUAAUUUACUGUUUGUAUGCAGUUCAUCCUACAGCAGCAGCAGCAGAGUGUGUUGUUUCUAUAAGUACGUGAAUCUUUAUUCUUUAGUUGAUCAAACAUUCACUUGGUAUUAUAUAUUCUCAAUAGUUUUUUUCACUUGAUCUUUUGAUGAACCUUUGCCUCACAUUCUCCUAGUACUAGUACAACAUAACGGCUCACUUGUAUCUCUGUUUAAAUUUCUGCUUGUGAUUCUUUAAUUCUAUGAACUGAUGAUUGCCAAGAGUAUGUUCUUUGAUCUUUUGAGGCAAUAGAAGCAUGAAAUGAUUGGACUUGCAAAGCAGAAAAAUAUAUAUCUAACCUUUGUGCUGCAAAAACUCUAAAUCUAAAUCUUAACUCUAACCAGAAAUCUAAUAAUCAGGCAUUCGGUUUUUUUUAGAAAUUUCCUCCAAUUUUGGUCUAUGAUCUACAUAGGCAAAGAGCUCUCUAUCUACUCCAGCGUUAUUUGUGUGUCCAGUAAGUAUCAAUCUUAAACUCAUCUUUGAAGCUCAUUUUUCUCAUUCUUCGAACAUUUGAUCUUGUUUGUGUUGAAACAUUUGACUGUAGGUGCAAUUAUGCCUACUGCCACCCCAAAAGACUAGAGCAAUAACACCCCAUACAUGAAAGCAGCUAUAUUGAUUCAAUUGUAGUUCAUCACCAGAUCUCAACUUGUACGCGAAUGAGGGUAUUGAGCAUAGAAAUUAUGCUUGAAGAAAUGCAGGUAAUGGAGCGUGCAAUCACAAAUGGAGUGCUACUAGCUUUGGGAGAAUAGAAGAACAACACCUGCUACUAUUUAGUAGUUUUUGUAGCAUGAUAAUUAUAUGUCAUGCGCUUUAGCUAUUUUAUCAAAAGAUUGGUUAGGUUUUGUCCUAUUUAGAAUGCGAAUAAUAGUUCAUGGAGUUUUAUUUUUUUGUUUUUGGAUUACCUUUUUUAUUGAUAUGACUAUGUAAUUAAUUUUCUUUUUAGAUUUGAAAUAAAUAGAAAUAUUUCAUUUC